GUGUUUGCUUUGGUAGCACAUAUACUAAAAUUGGAAUGAUACAGAGAGAUUAGCCUGGCCCAUGUGCAAGGAUGACAUGAAAAUUUGUGAAGCAUUCCAUAGUUUU
rnacentral:snRNA from 1 species